UACGUAGGGUGCUAGCGUUGUCCGGAAUUACUGGGCGUAAAGAGCUCGUAGGUGGUUUGUCGCGUUGUCCGUGAAAACUCACAACUCAAUUGUGGGCGUGCGGGCGAUACGGGCAGACUGGAGUACUGCAGGGGAGACUGGAAUUCCUGGUGUAGCGGUGGAAUGCGCAGAUAUCAGGAGGAACACCGGUGGCGAAGGCGGGUCUCUGGGCAGUAACUGACGCUAAGGAGCGAAAGCGUGGGGAGCGAACAGG
rnacentral:rRNA from 1 species